rnacentral:miRNA from 1 species
CUAUCAGGUUGGUGCAAAAGUAAUUGCAGUUUUUGCCAUUACAUUUAAUGCAAAACACAUUAUAUUAAUUGCAAAAACCACAAUUAUUUUUGCACCAACCUGAUA